UACAGGGGGGGCAAGCGUUGUUCGGAAUUACUGGGCGUAAAGGGUUUGUAGGUGGCUUGCUCAGUCAGACGUGAAAUCCCUCAGCUUAACUGGGGAACUGCGUCUGAUACUAGCGAGCUUGAGUGCAGGAGAGGAACGCGGAAUUCCAGGUGUAGCGGUGAAAUGCGUAGAUAUCUGGAGGAACACCGGUGGCGAAGGCGGCGUUCUCGGACUGGCAACUGACACUGAAAAACGAAAGCCAGGGGAGCAAACGGG
rnacentral:rRNA from 1 species